rnacentral:rRNA from 1 species
GGAGUCUGGGCCGUGUCUCAGUCCCAGUCUGGAUGAUCAUCCUCUCAAACCAUCUAACGAUCGUCGACUUGGUGAGCCAUUACCUCACCAACUAUCUAAUCGUACGCAGGCCAGUCCCAAACCGCUCGAAAGCUUUAAUCCGAAGAUCACAUGCGGUAUUAGCACACCUUUCGGUGCGUUAUCCCUCAGUUUGGGGUCCGUUCCCACGCGUUACUCAGCCGUCCGCCGCUCGUCAGCAACUAGCAAGCUAGUCCUGUUACCGCUCGACUUGCAUGUAUUAGGCAUGCCGCCAGCAUUCAUC